GAUUUCUGGUCUGAUAUGCCCGGCCCGUCCUCGUUAGAGGCGCGUGUGCUGGCGUGUGUCUACCAUCUUUCUAGAGAGCGGCAUUGCCCUUCACUGGUGUGGUGUUCGUCAUCUAGAUCUUUUACUUUGAAAAAAUUAGAGUGUUUAAAGCAGGCUUGCGCUAUGAAUACAUUAGCAUGGAAUAAUAAUUUAGGACUUUGUUUCUAUUUUGUUGGUUUCUAGAGAUGAAGUAAUGAUUGAUAGGGACAGUUGGGGGUGCUAGUAUUCAGCGGCCAGAGGUGAAAUUCUUGGAUUCGCUGAAGACUAACUUAUGCGAAAGCAUU
rnacentral:rRNA from 1 species